GUGGAUUAGUGGCGAACGGGUGAGUAACACGUGAGUAACCUGCCCCUGACUCUGGGAUAAGCCCGGGAAACUGGGUCUAAUACCGGAUAUGACUUUUGACCGCAUGGUUGAGGGUGGAAAGAUUUAUCGGUUGGGGAUGGACUCGCGGCCUAUCAGCUUGUUGGUGAGGUAAUGGCUCACCAAGGCGACGACGGGUAGCCGGCCUGAGAGGGUGACCGGCCACACUGGGACUGAGACACGGCCCAGACUCCUACGGGAGGCAGCAGUGGGGAAUAUUGCACAAUGGGCGCAAGCCUGAUGCAGCGACGCCGCGUGAGGGAUGACGGCCUUCGGGUUGUAAACCUCUUUCAGUAGGGAAGAAGCGAAAGUGACGGUACCUGCAGAAGAAGCGCCGGCUAACUACGUGCCAGCAGCCGCGGUAAUACGUAGGGCGCAAGCGUUAUCCGGAUUUAUUGGGCGUAAAGAGCUCGUAGGCGGUUUGUCGCGUCUAUCGUGAAAGUCCGAGGCUCAACCUCGGAUCUGCGGUGGGUACGGGCAGACUAGAGUGAUGUAGGGGAGACUGGAAUUCCUGGUGUAGCGGUGAAAUGCGCAGAUAUCAGGAGGAACACCGAUGGCGAAGGCAGGUCUCUGGGCAUUUACUGACGCUGAGGAGCGAAAGCAUGGGGAGCGAACAGGAUUAGAUACCCUGGUAGUCCAUGCCGUAAACGUUGGGCACUAGGUGUGGGGGACAUUCCA
rnacentral:rRNA from 1 species